rnacentral:rRNA from 1 species
UACGGGGGGAGCAAGCGUUGUUCGGAUUUAUUGGGCGUAAAGAGCUCGUAGGCGGUGUGUCGCGUCGGCCGUGAAAACCUGCAGCUCAACUGUGGGCUUGCGGUCGAUACGGGCAUCACUGGAGUUCGGCAGGGGAGACUGGAAUUCCUGGUGUAGCGGUGAAAUGCGCAGAUAUCAGGAGGAACACCGGUGGCGAAGGCGGGUCUCUGGGCCGAUACUGACGCUGAGGAGCGAAAGCAUGGGGAGCGAACAGG